rnacentral:rRNA from 1 species
UACGAAGGGGGCGAGCGUUGUUCGGAAUUACUGGGCGUAAAGGGCGCGCAGGCGGCCUUAGAAGUCAGAUGUGAAAGCCCCGGGCUCAACCUGGGAAUGGCAUUUGAUACUCUGAGGCUGGAGUACGGGAGAGGAGAGUGGAAUUCCCAGUGUAGAGGUGAAAUGCGUAGAUAUCGGGAGGAACACCUGUGGCGAAGGCGGCCCCCUGGUUGGAUACUGACGCUGAUACGCGAAAGCGUGGGGAGCAAACAGG